AUUUAAUUUUGCUUCUUUUGAACAGAUUUCAACCAUACAUGUAUCGUCAUGAGAGAUCAUAAAACUAAAAAAAAUUGUCAAAAGACUUUUUCGGGCAUUGUAUACUUGUAUAAACCCAAUGUACAUGCAGCUGUAUAUGUUGGUGAUAUUUGAAAUUCAAGAUUUUAUGCAGUUUGGAUUGGAAUCUUUAGGUUUAAGAAUGAUUAUAGUAGCCAAAUAGUUGAAAUGGUUGAUUAACAUCACAUGUAAUGUGAUUUGCAUUUGCUAUUGUGGUAAAAAAAAAAGUCAACAGUAAAAUUCUUCUAACAAUUU
rnacentral:sRNA from 1 species